rnacentral:rRNA from 1 species
CAGUAGCCACGGUAAUACGGAGGGGGCUAGCGUUGUUCGGAAUUACUGGGCGUAAGGCGCACGUAGGCGGCUUGGUAAGUUAGAGGUGAAAGCCCGGAGCUCAACUCCGGAAUUGCCUUUAAGACUGCCGAGCUAGUAGGUGAGAGAGGUAAGUGGAAUUCCGAGUGUAGAGGUGAAAUUCGUAGAUAUUCGGAAGAACACCAGUGGCGAAGGCGGCUUACUGGCUCAUUCUAGACGCUGAGGUGCGAAAGCGUGGGGAGCAAACAGGAUUAGAUACCCCCGUAGUCCCUGUCUCUUAUAC